AUUCCGUAGGUUUUAUUUAAGGAAAGAAAAUAUCAUAUCAUAUCAUUAUAUCAUAUAGUUUGACCAACUUAUAUAUCUAACAACAUAUAAAAAUCGAAUGUGGACCUACUUAUUUUUCAAUUGAAUGUAAUUGACUACCUAAUUGAGUGCCACCUAUGCAUUGGGGCCUCUUUUAAUUAAUACAAAAUUGAGGUUACAUUUUUUCAAAUGUUCCUCAAUUAAUAUAUAAGGGAUGU
rnacentral:lncRNA from 1 species